rnacentral:rRNA from 1 species
GUCUCAGUUCGGAUUGCAGGCUGCAACUCGCCUGCAUGAAGUCGGAAUUGCUAGUAAUCGCGGAUCAGCAUGCCGCGGUGAAUACGUUCCCGGGCCUUGUACACACCGCCCGUCACACCAUGAGAGCCGGGAACACCCGAAGUCCGUAGUCUAACCAUUAAGGAGGACGCGGCCGAAGGUGGGUUUGGUAAUUGGGGUGAAGUCGUAACAAGGUAAC